AGAAACGCUAUGAAGUGAAAAAGUAAUUUAUAAUAAAAUCAUAAAAGAGAUUAAGAGAAUUGGUGAAACUCUUAUACCCUAUAAAUGAAAGUCAUCACUGAGCGGAUUAGGUGAAAUUAAUUUAGUAGCUUAAUUCGGAGUAACUUUACGUUAUAAAAGUUCAAUGAAGGUGCACAAUUUAUUUUGUGAACUAAGGUGGUACCGCGAAUUUUCGUCCUUAGG
rnacentral:ncRNA from 1 species